CCCUUAGAUGUCCGGGGCUGCACGCGCGCUACACUGAAGGAAUCAGCGUGCUAAAACCAUUGUCGAAAGGCAUUGGUAAACCCAUUAAAAUCCUACGUGAUUGGGAUCGGGAAUUGCAAUUAUUUCCCUUGAACGAGGAAUUCCCAGUAAGUGUGGGUCAUAAGCUCGCGUUGAUUACGUCCCUGCCCUUUGUACACACCGCCCGUCGCUGCCCGGGACUGAGCCGUUUCGAGAAAAGCGGGGACUGCUGCUGUCGGGGCUUUCGGGCCUUGGCUUCGGUGGAAACCGCUUUAAUCGCAGUGGCUUGAACCGGGCAAAAGUCGUAACG
rnacentral:rRNA from 1 species